CUAACCAUAAAGAAUGGUCCCGCGGUCCAUUAGUUAGUGGGGGAGGUAAUGGCUCACCAAGCCGAUGAUGCAUAGCCGAGUUGAGAGACUGAUCGGCCACAAUGGGACUGAGACCCGGCCCAUAUUCCUACGGGAGGCAGCAGUAGGGAAUCUUCCACAAUGGGCGAAAGCCUGAUGGAGCAACGCCGCGUGUGUGAUGAAGGGUUUCGGCUCGUAAAACACUGUUGUAAGAGAAGAAUGACAUUGAGAGUAACUGUUCAAUGUGUGACGGUAUCUUACCAGAAAGGAACGGCUAAAUACGUGCCAGCAGCCGCGGUAAUACGUAUGUUCCAAGCGUUAUCCGGAUUUAUUGGGCGUAAAGCGAGCGCAGACGGUUAUUUAAGUCUGAAGUGAAAGCCCUCAGCUCAACUGAGGAAUUGCUUUGGAAACUGGAUGACUUGAGUGCAGUAGAGGAAAGUGGAACUCCAUGUGUAGCGGUGAAAUGCGUAGAUAUAUGGAAGAACACCAGUGGCGAAGGCGGCUUUCUGGACUGUAACUGACGUUGAGGCUCGAAAGUGUGGGUAGCAAACAGGAUUAGAUACCCUGGUAGUCCACACCGUAAACGAUGAGUGCUAGGUGUUUGAGGGUUUCCGCCCUUAAGUGCCGCAGCUAACGCAUUAAGCACUCCGCCUGGGGAGUACGACCGCAAGGUUGAAACUCAAAGGAAUUGACGGGGACCCGCACAAGCGGUGGAGCAUGUGGUUUAAUUCGAAGCAACGCGAAGAACCUUACCAGGUCUUGACAUCCCUUGACAACUCCAGAGAUGGAGCGUUCCCUUCGGGGACAAGGUGACAGGUGGUGCAUGGUUGUCGUCAGCUCGUGUCGUGAGAUGUUGGGUUAAGUCCCGCAACGAGCGCAACCCUUAUUACUAGUUGCCAGCAUUCAGUUGGGCACUCUAGUGAGACUGCCGGUGACAAACCGGAGGAAGGUGGGGAUGACGUCAAAUCAUCAUGCCCCUUAUGACCUGGGCUACACACGUGCUACAAUGGCGUAUACAACGAGUUGCCAACCCGCGAGGGUGAGCUAAUCUCUUAAAGUACGUCUCAGUUCGGAUUGUAGGCUGCAACUCGCCUACAUGAAGUCGGAAUCGCUAGUAAUCGCGGAUCAGCACGCCGCGGUGAAUACGUUCCCGGGUCUUGUACACACCGCCCGUCACACCAUGAGAGUUUGUAACACCCAAAGCCGGUGGGGUAACCUUCGGAGCCAGCCGUCUAA
rnacentral:rRNA from 1 species